rnacentral:rRNA from 1 species
UGGGGAAUUUUGGACAAUGGGGGGAAACCCUGAUCCAGCCAUCCCGCGUGUGCGAUGAAGGCCUUCGGGUUGUAAAGCACUUUUGGCAGGAAAGAAACGUCGCGGGUUAAUACCCCGCGAAACUGACGGUACCUGCAGAAUAAGCACCGGCUAACUACGUGCCAGCAGCCGCGGUAAUACGUAGGGUGCAAGCGUUAAUCGGAAUUACUGGGCGUAAAGCGUGCGCAGGCGGUUCGGAAAGAAAGAUGUGAAAUCCCAGAGCUUAACUUUGGAACUGCAUUUUUAACUACCGGGCUAGAGUGUGUCAGAGGGAGGUGGAAUUCCGCGUGUAGCAGUGAAAUGCGUAGAUAUGCGGAGGAACACCGAUGGCGAAGGCAGCCUCCUGGGAUAACACUGACGCUCAUGCACGAAAGGCGUGGGGAGCAAACAGGAUUAGAUACCCUGGUAGUCCACGCCCUAAACGAUGUCAACUAGCUGUUGGGGCCUUCGGGCCUUGGUAGCGCAGCUAACGCGUGAAGUUGACCGCCUGGGGGAGUACGGUCGCAAGAUUAAAAAGCUCAAA